AAUAGUACUCUUGUGAGUGACUCGGUAGUAUAAAUGCUAGCUAAAGAGGCCACCGCCAUGUAGGCAUGUACUCAAAGCUACCAAAUUAGGGUUACAAAUCAAAGAGAUCCCUAAAUUAUGGUAGGAAAAAGACACCCGGUUAAGCUCAAUUCCUCUGCAUGCGUCAUGUUGAUCAUGCUGCUUGUGGAACGGCGAGUCUCAGGGGAAGUGCGCGAGGAUGUGUGACGUACAAAAAGGCGGAAAGCCGCAUCUGGCGGACUGUAAGAGAUGCAUGAUGAAAUGUAGAUGCAGUUGUGUUCAUUGAGAAUUGCGGUAGUUCGUGCAAUAUGAUGUUCAUAGUUCACUACCACAUGUGAUGUUGCGUUCAUAUCUUAAAUAGAAAAGAUGAAGGCUCUGUUUAGUCUCACGCUAACGCUUUAAUUUUAAUACUCAAAUUAUAUGUGAUUUAAUGUAAU